rnacentral:tRNA from 1 species
GGGCCCGUAGUCGAGACUAAGUUUCGAACGAGACUUGGCGACCGUGGUUAGACGUCAAAAUGCCAAAGCCCUUUGGUUUUGCGGAACCUUUACACGGUGAAAACCGCCGGUUCGAUUCCGGCCGGGCCCA